rnacentral:lncRNA from 1 species
UGACCUCAUUCUGAUGACGCAGGCACGAGCUCCGAGACUUGAACAGCCAUGUUGGUACAAUGUAGACUAGUCAGGACUAUCUCAGGUUAGGGAGCCUGCUCUCCAGCAGUCAAGUGACUGACAUUUGCACAUGAUUAUGUUUCAAUUCAGCUAAACCAAGGUCAUCUCUGUUUCUUAUGUGUGAUGAACAGUUUCUGCUUUGUAUCUCCACAAUAGGGUGGCCCUGGAUUCACUGCCCAAGCACUAGGCACAGUUGUCCCCCGAACGAGCAUUCAUCUGCCAGGCUGGGCAGGGCCACUGAUGAGUCACUGGUGACUGAGCCGUGAUCACGAGAUGGAAUGUUUCCAGAUUUGGAGUCAAUGUCAUAACUUUUCGAACACAAGAAAGAGCUCCUUCUCUUCCAGUUGGAAUCUACUGGCAGUGGGAGGAAUUUAUGGCAAAUAGAACCUUCUCAAAGAAAGUGAUUCCUAACCAUUCACUGACUCGCCAAAACAUUUGAAAUUUGAGAAAGUUGUUCAGACCCAAGUUCAUUUUCAGUUUUGGGGUGAGUCUGAAUGAAAAAUAGGAAAUUUGAUGCCUCCCUUCCAUCUGUAUUCAACACCCUGAGCCUGGCACAGCUGUGCCAUCAAAGCACUCCUUCUAGACUAGUGCCCGCCCAGAGAAUACAGGGACCACUGGAGACUCAGCACAGAUUUGGACUCACCUAG